AGUGAACGCUGGCGGUAGGCCUAACACAUGCAAGUCGAACGGCAGCACAGUAAGAGCUUGCUCUUACGGGUGGCGAGUGGUGGACGUGUGAGGUAUACAUCGGAAUCUACUUUUUCGUGGGGGAUAACGUAGGGAAACUUACGCUAAUACCGCAUACGACCUACGGGUGAAAGCAGGGGAUCUUCGGACCUUGCGCGAGUGAAUGAGCCGAUGCCGGUUUAGCUAGUUGGCGGGGUAAAGGCCCACCAAGGCGACGAUCCGUAGCUGGUCUGAGAGGAUGAUCAGCCACACUGGAACUGAGACACGGUCCAGACUCCUACGGGAGGCAGCAGUGGGGAAUAUUGGACAAUGGGCGCAAGCCUGAUCCAGCCAUACCGCGUGGGUGAAGAAGGCCUUCGGGUUGUAAAGCCCUUUUGUUGGGAAAGAAAAGCAGCAGGUUAAUACCCCGCUGUUCUGACGGUACCCAAAGAAUAAGCACCGGCUAACUUCGUG
rnacentral:rRNA from 1 species